AGCAUACCAAUAGUAUCAUGUGCGUCCGUAGCUCAGUUGGUUAGAGCACCACCUUGACAUGGUGGGGGUCGAUG
rnacentral:tRNA from 1 species